GCGCGCACGAAGUGAGUAGGCUAGAGCUCGGAGGACUAGGGAAGGAGACGGACUAGGGGGAGAAGACGGGAGACAAGAGAGGGGACAAAGACUGUGCCGGAUCCCCGGCGGAUGGGUGCUGAAAGAGGAGAGAAAGGAGCCAUCUUGGGAGACGUUGCCGCGGUACCUAAGAUGGCUGGGCUGGCUGGCACACGAGGUCUGGAUGUGGAGUCGUCAGGAUUCUGCAUACCCUAUUGGGGAUCCUGGUAUGGACCAAACAACCAUUAGACAGUUAAAACCAUCUCUGUCACUGUCAUAGUCAGUUUAUACAUCUGGCAUGAGGAGCUACAGUAGCCUACACUGUUCACAGAACCAGAGGACCACAACAAGCUAGAGGGAAGACAAUGGAAGAUUAUGCAAGAGGACGCUUAAAAUAUACUUUGGCAAAAAUCACAAGAGACUAGAAAAUACUGGAGAAAUCUGAUAUUUUUUCAUGGAAUACAUUCACACAUUCACUCUUCCUUGAAUUUGUUGUUCUUUAUCUGAUUCAAUGUAAUAAUAAUAAUGAAAACAUAAACUCACUUAUGCUCUCAAGUCACAAUUGAUAUUCAAACUCUGCUGUGUGUGUGUGUGUGUGUGUGUGUGUGUGUGUGUGUGUGUGUGUGUGUGUGUGUGUGUGUGUGUGUGUGUGUGUGUGUGUGUGUGUGUGUGUGUGUGUGUGUGUGUGUGUGAGCGCUCUUUACAAACCCUGAAGAAAGUGAUUCCACAUUGUUGUCAAUUAAAUGGCUACCAUGCUACCAUGCUGAGAGAAACCCACCUCUUUGGAGCUGGCCAUAGUGCAAAGCAAACAACCUAUCAUUUAGUCCUCUUGUGUCAGUACCUUGGACAGCACCUUGGGUUGGGCUACAGCUCCCACUUUUUCAUAUAACAAACUAAUUUAUGCAGGUGGGAGUGAGAAACAAUGGUGGCCUCAGGAACAUAUAAUGUCCGUCAAUUAGUAUAUGUAAUGUAGUCAAAUAUUCUCAUAUUUAACGCAGUUAUUUCUGAAGUAGGUUAAAUCUGAAGUUAGACUUGUUUUGAUGGAGUUGUUUACCCUACUAGAAGCUACUCCUAAUUCCAGACUUGACAGACUUGAUUAGUGACUCCAUUUUCUGACACCAAAUCAGGUUUAGGAUUAUACAGUGUAGGUCUGAUUUGAUGGACCGAACAUUGACUCCAAUAUCUCACCCUUGACCUCAAUCAGUGUCCGUCCUGAUGACCAAAGUCAACAACAGAUGGACAGAAGUAAGAUCAAGAAGGGAUUAUUCAGAGUCUUUGUGUUGUUAUGAUCAAAACAUGUUUGAUGUGACAGACAAAAAGUAGUAAAUAUAACAAAAUUAAUGCUUAUCAUUGGUAUUGUUGCUAACACUUACAAAGUUGUCAAGGAAAUGGUUUAAUUCAUGCUGGAAAACAGUCCAAAUAGUGCUGUUUUGAUGGAGUGAAAAGACUGACACAAUGACAUGUAAUACAAUUACAGAACAGUAAUAAACCGUUGUAAACUAUUAUUAUUAUUUAUAUUUUGCAUUAACAAAAAAAAUGUUUAAAUUGCUAAAUCAUAUGGUAUUUUCUUGCAACCCCAAAGACAGAAUGUACACAAUUGUGCAAGUAAUCUUACAAAUUGUGCGUUGGCUGUGAUAUUUCACAUGCAUUUUACAUUAAAAUAUUUCCUGAAAUA